rnacentral:rRNA from 1 species
ACCGCAUAAGAACAUUUACUGCAUGGUAGAUGUUUAAAAGGUGCAAAUGCAUCACUACCAGAUGGACCUGCGUUGUAUUAGCUAGUAGGUGAGGUAACGGCUCACCUAGGCGACGAUACAUAGCCGACCUGAGAGGGUGAUCGGCCACACUGGGACUGAGACACGGCCCAGACUCCUACGGGAGGCAGCAGUAGGGAAUCUUCGGCAAUGGGGGGAACCCUGACCGAGCAACGCCGCGUGAGUGAAGAAGGUUUUCGGAUCGUAAAGCUCUGUUGUUAAGGAAGAACGAGUGUGAGAAUGGAAAGUUCAUACUGUGACGGUACUUAACCAGAAAGGGACGGCUAACUACGUGCCAGCAGCCGCGGUAAUACGUAGGUCCCGAGCGUUGUCCGGAUUUAUUGGGCGUAAAGCGAGCGCAGGCGGUUAGAUAAGUCUGAAGUUAAAGGCAGUGGCUCAACCAUUGUAGGCUUUGGAAACUGUUUAACUUGAGUGCAGAAGGGGAGAGUGGAAUUCCAUGUGUAGCGGUGAAAUGCGUAGAUAUAUGGAGGAACACCGGUGGCGAAAGCGGCUCUCUGGUCUGUAACUGACGCUGAGGCUCGAAAGCGUGGGGAGCGAACAGGAUUAGAUACCCUGGUAGUCCACGCCGUAAACGAUGAGUGCUAGGUGUUAGGUCCUUUCCGGGACUUAGUGCCGCAGCUAACGCAUUAAGCACUCCGCCUGGGGAGUACGACCGCAAGGUUGAAACUCAAAGGAAUUGACGGG